rnacentral:tRNA from 6 species
UCUCCCAUAGCUCAGUCGGUAGAGCGACGGACUGUUAAUCCGCAGGUCCCUGGUUCGAGCCCAGGU